AAGAUAUUGCUCAUACUACAAAAUAGGUAAGUAGCAUUCUGGCGUUAGCUUAGACGUCCAUAAAUAACCACAUACAGAGCAAAGUACACGAAAAUCAGUACCUGACAAAUAUUUCUGUCUAUUACACAGCGCAACUUUCCAGUGACCUGCUCAACUUCCACAAACCAGUAUUAGGAGCCUUCUCAAACCCAUGGCAUGUCCACUACAGUGAUGAUGCAAAAGUAAAUAAAAAAGAAGGAAAGAAUGAGACAGAAGAAAAAUUAAUGAGAACUCAUGAAAUAUGAAAAUAGUGGGGAAAAAAGAACCCUGAACAAUUUAGAAUCACAGCACAGUCUGCAGGAAGAACCUAAUACAAGCCAAGAACCCUACCUACAGCACACUCAACUGAAAACAGUACCUGCAGGAAUAUCUGACAACCUCUGAAUCCUGAAAAAGAUCAUUUUACCUAGCAACCCAUGGCACUGUGACUGGAAAAUUCUCUAUUUGAAAAUCUAGCUGGAAGGCCAAGCAGCAGCAUUUCUUGUUAUGGAACAUACCCUCCCAAACUCCCAUUCUUCAGUUACACAUCUGUCUGCUUGGAACAUAAAGUCUUGGACUGUUAUCUUCACAUGUGACUCCAAACAACAGGGAAGAAAACCCUCUGAAAGAACACCACAAAAAGAAAACAGAAGUGCAGCUUUCACUUGGGCAGCAGCAGCCCAAUCGUAUUACUAG
rnacentral:lncRNA from 1 species